UACGUAGGGUGCGAGCGUUAAUCGGAAUUACUGGGCGUAAAGCGUGCGCAGGCGGCUUUGCAAGACAGAUGUGAAAUCCCCGGGCUUAACCUGGGAACUGCAUUUGUGACUGCAUGGCUGGAGUGCGGCAGAGGGGAUGGAAUUCCGGCGUGUAGCAGUGAAAUGCGUAGAUAUGCGGAGGAACACCGAUGGCGAAGGCAAUCCCCUGGGCCUGCACUGACGCUCAUGCACGAAAGCGUGGGGAGCAAACAGG
rnacentral:rRNA from 1 species